CUUCUGGGCACUGAGGCUUGGCUUGAAGCCUACCACGAUGUCAAUGUCACUGCCUCGAUGUGGCCGUGGAGGGGCUUAACGGGCAGCUGCCCAACCUUGACCUGCUCAAUCUCUUCCAGACCUUCUGCCAGAAAGGGGGCCUGUUGUGCACGCUUCAGGGCAAGCUGCAGCCCCAGGACUGGACAUCAUUGGAUGGACCGCUGCAGGGCCUGCAGACACUGCUGCUCAUGGUUCUGCGGCAGGCCUCCGGCCGCCCCCACGGCUCCCAUGGCCUCUUCCUGCGCUACCGUGUGGAGGCCCUAACCCUGCGUGGCAUCAAUAGCUUCCGCCAGUACAAGUAUGACCUGGUGGCAGUGGGCAAGGCUUUGGAGGGCAUGUUCCGCAAGCUCAACCACCUCCUGGAGCGCCUGCACCAGUCCUUCUUCCUCUACUUGCUCCCCGGCCUCUCCCGCUUCGUCUCCAUCGGCCUCUACAUGCCCGCUGUCGGCU
rnacentral:sRNA from 1 species